GGGAAACACAUGGUGGUUAAUGUGGACAUGAGAUGUGUUUCCCUCUGAAGACUGCAGCCCAAGACGCCCAUAGGAAGCCUCCAUCCUGGUGCCCUCUGGGCCGUGAGUUUGCCCCUCCAGCUAUGAGCUCGGCGCUCCCACCAGACGCUUCCUUUUCCAUCAGGAUCCAGCUGCUCGUCAGCACCUCCCCCACCCCACUUUGUUAGAAGCAGCUGUUUUUCCCCUUCCAGCCCUCCAAGUGCUGAUUUCAUUUCUUUCCCGACAGAAGUUUGGAGCCAGGAGGGAAAUGGUUUGGCAGGAAAUCAACAAGCCACAGGAGGAAGACAACAGAGUGGAGAAAGCAGACGCCUCACAGAAAGGCUGGGCCGAGGGGGUCUGAGUAGGCAGACUGAACGGGGCUCCGAAGACCCCCAGAAGUCCCUGCAAGUCCCCGGAGCCUGGAGAGAACCACUACCUGUGCGUCUUCAAGAGGUCGUCCCUGCAAGCAUAUAUAUGUGUAUAUUUUGUGGAAGUUUUACCGGAAAUGCAGCGUGGUGGCCAGUCCACACUCUGAAUUCAUGGUGAACCGACCGGCACCUGCGUGUGGAAGGAUGGACAUCACUGGUCCAAUGGACCCAAGUCACUGCCAUCAACCUGGCCCCUCUCGCUGCUCUGGUGCUGGGAGCUCCCACAAUCACACUCGCGCUUUAAAGGCCACCUGGACGCUGGUAUUUUGAAGCGUUCAGGUUGUUCGUUUGGCAGUUAUGCGUGCAUGCUUAGUUGCUCAGUCGUGUCUGACUCUGCGAGCCCAUGAACUGUAGCCUUCCAGGCUCCUCUGUCCAUAGGAUUUCCCAGUCACUUUUGAUGCUUUUGAACUUUGGGUCUGAAGAAGACUCUUGAGAGUCCCUUGGAUAGCAAGGAGAUCAAACCAGUCAAUCCUAAAGGAAAUCAGCCUUGAAUAUUCAUUGGAAGGACUGAAGCUGAAGCUGAAGCUCCAAUACUUUGGCCACCUGAUGUGAAGAGCUGACUCAUUGGGAAAGACCCUGAUGCUGGGAAAGAUUGAGGGCAGGAGGAGGAGGGGGAGACAGAGGAUGAGAUGGUUGGAUGGCAUCAUGGACUCAGUGGAUAUGAGUCUGAGCAAGCUCUGGAAGAUAUUUUGGGAAUGCCAGGGGAGCCUGGCAUUCUGUAGUCCAUAGGGUUGCAGAGUCAGACAUGACUUAGUGACUGAACAACAAGAAGACACUUUAGAAAACUCUUUCAAGGCUUUAGGAGAGGCCCAUGUUUCAUGUGAGCUCAACUCUGUUCAUCUGGUCCCGAGGUGGCUGGGCUCUAUUCUGGUUACACAUUCACGGAUGGAGGUGUCUCCAGCUGGGUCGCUGUAAGGGCUGCCUCUGUGCGGUGAACACAGGUGCAAUGUGCUGUCCCGAGGGUCCCCAAGGCUUCUUCAGACCAGCAUCGUCAGAAUGUUGAGUUGCAGAUGACCACAGAAAGGCUUCUCUGCUCCUUCUGCUAUUGCACAGGUGCAAGUUUCCUGCCCCUGGACAGGCUGGACAUCCCAAGGCAGAGUCCUGGGCAGGGGAGAGAACUUGCCCUCCCACAUCUUGCCUGAUGGAGCCCUUCCCCUCUUUGGGCCUCAGCUACUCCAUCUGUAAAAUGGAGCUAUAAAUAUCGACUUCCAGACAGGAUGUGUAUGAGGAUUAAAGGGGAUGAUAUGUCAUAGUGUAAGGGGCACAUGGGUCUUUGACGACUCCUCACACCCACCCUCAUUUAGGACAACAGCAGGGUGCAUGGAGCAU